CAGGGCGUAGCUAUAAUACAAAGCACUCAGCUUACACCUGAAAGAUACCUACUACUUACUGGGUCGUCCUGA
rnacentral:tRNA from 1 species